UACGAAGGGGGCUAGCGUUGUUCGGAAUUACUGGGCGUAAAGCGCGCGCAGGCGGUCUUCCAAGUCAGUGGUGAAAGCCCGGAGCUCAACUCCGGAACUGCCAUUGAAACUGUUAGACUUGAGGAUGAGAGAGGUGAGUGGAAUUCCCAGUGUAGAGGUGAAAUUCGUAGAUAUUGGGAAGAGCACCAGUGGCGAAGGCGGCUCACUGGCUCAUUUCUGACGCUCAGGCGCGACAGCGUGGGGAUCAAACAGG
rnacentral:rRNA from 1 species